rnacentral:rRNA from 1 species
UAGGGAAUCUUCCGCAAUGGGCGCAAGCCUGACGGAGCAACGCCGCGUGAGUGAUGAAGGUCUUCGGAUCGUAAAACUCUGUUAUUAGGGAAGAACAAACGUGUAAGUAACUGUGCACGUCUUGACGGUACCUAAUCAGAAAGCCACGGCUAACUACGUGCCAGCAGCCGCGGUAAUACGUAGGUGGCAAGCGUUAUCCGGAAUUAUUGGGCGUAAAGCGCGCGUAGGCGGUUCUUUAAGUCUGAUGUGAAAGCCCACGGCUCAACCGUGGAGGGUCAUUGGAAACUGGAAAACUUGAGUGCAGAAGAGGAAAGUGGAAUUCCAUGUGUAGCGGUGAAAUGCGCAGAGAUAUGGAGGAACACCAGUGGCGAAGGCGACUUUCUGGUCUGUAACUGACGCUGAUGUGCGAAAGCGUGGGGAUCAAACA